rnacentral:siRNA from 1 species
AGCUGUACCUUGCUGGAGCCC